rnacentral:lncRNA from 1 species
UGGUGGUUGACUAUGGUGGUUUACGGAAAAUAAAUUUUCCAGGAAAAAUAAAAAUUGUAACGAUGACCCUUUGUGUUAAUGCAGGUUUUAGUUUAAGAGGAAGAAAGGGUGUGUGUAUGGGGAAUGAGGGUGGGAAUGGAAAGGAAGCAUGGUCGAAGGAGUGAGUGAUCACUGAUUGAGGGAAGAAGAAGGAACACCGCCACAUGGAUUUAAUAAUUUUAAAACAUAAAAAAAAAAAUACAAGGCAUCUCAAAUUAACGCCGUCUGCUACCACUUAACGGAUGGGAUACAAUGUGUUCAUAUUUUCAAAUAUUGUGACUAAAUUGAGACUGUUGCAAACUUGAGGACCAAAAUGAGAUUAGUUGACAAAUAAGAGGACUAAUGGAGGUAUUAAGCCAAAAAAAAACUAUAUCACUUAUGAAGAUUUUCAUUGGACUUAAUUAUCUGAAUACAUUCCUUUGACAUUGAGCUUCAUUGUAGUCGUGCUCUUGUAAUACUAUUUAUACUUUGCAGAGUCAUAACCAAAGAGGUUAUCACCUUACUACUUACAAGAUUACUUUUUUUCGCGUCGAGGACUUAACCAUCUAGUGGUUAAGACCUCUUACAACUCUCACUACAUAACUAAUUUUCCUAUAUUUGAGUAUGAAUAGUUAUGUACAUAUAUCUUUUUACUAACUGCCGAAAUGUUUAUGCAUAUAUUAAAAUCAUCACCAUAAAUAAUUUCUCUUUGAAAUUCUCUUAACAUUAUCAUCAUAUAUGUCCACAACUGUAAUCAUCACUUCAAUUAAUAAUAAACAACAUUACACACAUAUAUCACUUCCAUCAUCUUGGCAUUUGCAAAAUCACAAAUUAAACAUACCAUAAAAAACAUGAAAAUUGAGUUAAACUCUGAUUCUUCCGCUCAAUGAGAAUAUCUAUCCACCCAGC